UGUUGCACCGAUCCGUCUCCGUUAGAAUUUGAUUCUCCACAAUUUGGGUCGGUUCGUUGCACUUUAGUUUGAAAAAGAAGCUUAAGUAAGGUUAUAAGGCAAAGGUAACAAAUGAGGUAGACCGACGAGGGACAAGAAGGAGACGUGAUUGCCAUAAGGGAA